CGCGGGGUGGAGCAGCUCGGUAGCUCGCUGGGCUCAUAACCCAGAGGUCAUAGGUUCGAAUCCUAUCCCCGCUACAA
rnacentral:tRNA from 1 species